CUUGGCUAAGCACAGAGAGGGUGUGAGCAUCAGGAGCAGAGAAUGCCCAUGAGGCGCCACCAGGAAGCCCGCCUCCCCUGAACUGCUUCCUCCUGCUACCACUCAGUGUCUACCUAACAUCAUGCCGGGCUUCUCACCUCAGCCAUGGAGGAAAGACAGCUGUGUAGUUUGGGUCCUUAUAUGAUGUCCCAGCUCAAGCCAUCUUUCCAUUCUUUAGGUCACAUGCUAGUCACUCACUCCCAGGUACUUUUUAUUUUUUUUUUAUUUUUUGAGCCCUCAGUAAAUGUAGAUGUCUUUUUAAUUUUUAUUUAUUUAUUUUGGCCUUGCUCUCAGGCAUGUGGAAUCUUAGUUCCCUGGCCAGGGAUCGAACCCAUUUCCCUGCAGUGGAAGCAAGGAGUCUUAACCACUG
ensembl:lncRNA